GCAGAACGCGAAGAACCUUACCCACCUUUGACAUGGCAGGAACUUACCAGAGAUGGUUUGGUGCUCGAAAGAGAACCUGCACACAGGUGCUGCAUGGCUGUCGUCAGCUCGUGUCGUGAGAUGUUGGGUUAAGUCCCGCAACGAGCGCAACCCUUGCCAUUAGUUGCUACAUUCAGUUGAGCACUCUAAUGGGACUGCCGGUGACAAACCGGAGGAAGUGGGGAUGACGUCAAGUCCUCAUGGCCCUUAUAGGUGGGGCUACACACGUCAUACAAUGGCUGGUACAAAGGGUUGCCAACCCGCGAGGGGGAGCUAAUCCCAUAAAGCCAGUCGUAGUCCGGAUCGCAGUCUGCAACUCGACUGCGUGAAGUCGGAAUCGCUAGUAAUCGUGGAUCAGAAUGUCACGGUGAAUGCGUUCCC
rnacentral:rRNA from 1 species